rnacentral:rRNA from 1 species
CUCGAACCCUCUUGUCCUCCACCCUCCCCGCGGGUUUAUAUGCCCGCCCCGUCCACCUCCUCUGAACCUCAGCUCAAGCGGAACCCGCACACCCUCGCUCUCUCCUUCUUCUUCUUCUUCUUCUCCCGAGCAAGAAGGAGGCUCUGCUCCGCGCAAGCAAGCUCUGCCUCAUGGCCUGCGCCUUCUUCUUCGACGCGGAGCCGCUGGGCGAGCCCGGGCUGCGCCUGCACGGGCCGGAGCUGGAGCUGGACGCCUGCGCGCUCUGCACCAAGCCGCUGCAGAGCAACAGCGACAUCUUCAUGUACAAGGGGGACACCCCCUUCUGCAGCGAGGACUGCCGCUACGAGCAGAUGCACUUUGACGCCGCCAUGGCCAGGCAGCAGGCCAGCGCCAGGCGGAAGCAGCAGCAGCAGCAGGCCCAGGCGCAGCCCAGCGUGCCGGCGCCGGCGCCCGUGUCCGCCAAGGCCGACGUGUCCGUGGCGAGCUAGUUGCGCCGCGCCGCAUCGGGUUAGCUGGUAGGAACUAUGUACCCUUUUUGCCUUGGGUUGAAGGAGGAGGAGGAUGCGGGAUUCUUGGACGGCCAGUGUUUUUGCCCUGGCAUCCGAUGCCGAUCGGUCCAUCUUUUGAUCUGCACAGGGCGGGCAAUCUGAGCAGGAUCACCGCGGUCUUCUGAUUGGCCUCAUUUUGGGGUUUGGGUUUGGGUAUGAGAGGAGAGAGCAGGUGUGCAAGAGCACCGUCGCUGUGUAAUUAUGCAAGGCAAUCGAUGUAAAGUAUUUCUCCAAAUUUUGAAGGAAAUCCGAUCAUGUUUAUUAUUCAUUUGAGCGAGUAUUUUGUUUUGAACCAGCAGAUGUUUAUUGGAUGGUACAAUUGAUAAUUCCUAGCCAGC